UACAGAGGGUGCGAGCGUUAAUCGGAAUUACUGGGCGUAAAGCGCACGUAGGUGGCGACGUAAGUCGGGUGUGAAAGCCCCGGGCUCAACCUGGGAACUGCACUCGAAACUGUUUAUCUUGAGUGCCGGAGAGGAAAGCGGAAUACCUGGUGUAGAGGUGAAAUUCGUAGAUAUCAGGUGGAACACCAGUGGCGAAGGCGGCUUUCUGGACGGUAACUGACGCUGAGACGCGAAAGCGUGGGGAGCAAACAGG
rnacentral:rRNA from 1 species